UACGUAGGGUGCGAGCGUUAAUCGGAAUUACUGGGCGUAAAGCGUGCGUAGGCGGUUCGUUAAGUUCGUUGUGAAAGCCCCGGGCUCAACCUGGGAAUGGCAAUGGAAACUGGCGGGCUGGAGUAUGGCAGAGGGGGGUGGAAUUCCGCGUGUAGCAGUGAAAUGCGUAGAGAUGCGGAGGAACACCGAUGGCGAAGGCAGCCCCCUGGGCUGACACUGACGCUCAGGCACGAAAGCGUGGGGAGCAAACAGG
rnacentral:rRNA from 1 species